rnacentral:rRNA from 1 species
ACAUACGACCAUAGGCUACAGAGAACUCGGGAUCCCGUCCGCUCUCCCAUAGAUAAACUGCAAACCGCCAGAUUAGUAGUUGGGUGGGUGACCACCAGCGAAUCCCUGGUGUUGUAUGUU